GACGAACGCUGGCGGCGUGCUUAACACAUGCAAGUCGAACGGAAAGGCCCUUCUUUUGUGGGGUGCUCGAGUGGCGAACGGGUGCGUAACACGUGAGUAACCUGCCCUUGACUUUGGUAUAACUUCACGAAACUGGGGCUAAUACCGUAUAGGAUCUCCUGCUGCAUGGUGGGGGUUGGAACGUUUCGGCGGUUGGGGAUGGACUCGCGGCUUAUCAGCUUGUUGGUGGGGUAGUGGCUUACCAAGGCUUUGACGGGUAGCCGGCCUGAGAGGGUGACCGGCCAGAUGGGGGCUAAGGUAGGGCCCAGCGUCAUACGGGGGGCAGCGGGGGGGAAAAUUGAACAGUGGGAGGAAGACGGAGGAGGAAACGCGGCGGGCGGGAUGACGGCCUUGGGGUUGAAAACAGCUUUCGCCUGAGACGAAGCGUGAGUGACGGUAAUGGGUAAAGAAGCACCGGCUAACUACGUG
rnacentral:rRNA from 1 species